UCAGGUGAUCUGCCUGCCUUGGCCUCCCAAAGUGCUGGGAUUACAAGCAUGAGCCACCAUGCCCGGCCAGCUUCAAUUUAAAGUCACCAGCUGCAUUAGCCUCUAACAAGAGAAUCACCUACCCUUUGAAGCUUUGAAACCAAGCUUCUCCUCUCUAGCUGUGAAAGUCCUAGAUGGCAUCUUCUUCCAGUAUAAGGCUGUUUCAUCUACAUUGAUAAUUUGUUGUUUAGUGUAGCCACCUUCAUCAAUGAUUUUAACUAGAUCUUCUGGAUAACUU
rnacentral:lncRNA from 1 species